AUACUUAUCUUUCAGGAACGAUACUGAUCACAAAGAUGAUUUUCCAGAGGCUUAUCUACUAUACUGUGGAUAUGCAGAUCUCUGUGAUUUUCCCAAAUAUGGGAAACUCAACUGCCUAAUUUGUGGUAAUGGAGACUUUGUUCAUGUUUUCUU
rnacentral:snRNA from 1 species